GACGAACGCUGGCGGCGUGCUUAACACAUGCAAGUCGAACGAUGAACCCGGAGCUUGCUCCGGUGGAUUAGUGGCGACCGGGUGAGUAACACGUGAGUAACCUGCCCUUGACUCUGGGAUAACUGCGGGAAACUGUAGCUAAUACCGGAUACGACCCUCGGCGGCAUCGCCAGGGGGUGGAAAGAAUUUCGGUCAAGGAUGGACUCGCGGCCGAUCAGCUAGUUGGUGAGGUAACGGCUCACCAAGGCUACGAUGGGUAGCCGGCCUGAGAGGGUGCCCGGACACACUGGGACUGAGACACGGCCCCUGCUCCUCCGGGAGGCAGCAGUGGGGAAUAUUGCUCCCUGGGCGCAAGCCUUAUGCAGCAACGCCGCGUGAGGGCUGCCGCCCUUCGGGUUGUAAACCUCUUUUCCCCUGGAAGAAGCGAAAGUGACGGUACCUGCAGAACCAGCACCGGCUAACUACGUGCCAGCCGCCGCGGUAA
rnacentral:rRNA from 1 species